CACAAAGCUAACAACAGUUGCAGAGAAUAAGAAUGAAUACCGUGAUGUUUCAAUUUUUGCCUCUUCUCACUCUUUCCCCAUCCACAGAUGCCGUUGUCUUUACCCUUCGGUGCAGUCUUAGUUUCCCUGGGUCAUCUUUGAAGGAUAUGUGGGUAAAGUGCUUCCUUCUUGCUUGGAAUGUAGGCCGCUAUUCUCCCAAGAGCUCUCAAUAGUUUGCAAUCCAGAGGAAGCCCUUGAGUUAGAGCUUACAGAUUGCCCAGUUGCCAGAAAUGUGAUGAAUCUUUUUGGUUUUGGCCAACACAUUGCUUUCACGAGUUCCACUGCACGUGGUUAUAAACCCUGUGGAUUUCUGAGCUAAUAUAUGAGAUCGAGAAAUAAGAACAUUCCAUGAAAAAGAACAACUCGAGAUUUAUGAACGCCAAACUAGCAUUCUAGAAAAUACUCAAGAAUAUCCUAAACAGAGACGACAAAGCCAACAAUCCAGGUGGAAUGAAUACAUCAAGCAAGUUGAAUAGAUAAAAAAUGAAAAGAAAAGAAAAAGGAAUCAUCAACAGAAAAAGAAUGGCACUUCUCAGUAAUAACUCUCAAUGAUAAUGGGUUCAAUUCCCCAAUCAAAAAACACAUAUUGACAGAUUGGAUUAAAAAAAAC
rnacentral:lncRNA from 1 species